GACGAACGCUGGCGGCGUGCUUAACACAUGCAAGUCGAACGGUAAGGCCCUUCGGGGUACACGAGUGGCGAACGGGUGAGUAACACGUGGGUGAUCUGCCCUGCACUUCGGGAUAAGCCUGGGAAACUGGGUCUAAUACCGGAUAGGACCACUGCCUGCAUGGGUGGUGGUGGAAAGCUUUUGCGGUGUGGGAUGGGCCCGCGGGCUAUCAGCUUGUUGGUGGGGUGAUGGCCUACCAAGGCGACGACGGGUAGCCGGCCUGAGAGGGUGACCGGCCACACUGGGACUGAGAUACGACCCAGACUCCUAUGGGAGGCAGCAGUGGGGAAUAUUGCACAAUGGGCGCAAGCCUGAUGCAGCGACGCCGCGUGAGGGAUGACGGCCUUCGGGUUGUAAACCUCUUUCAGCUAUGACGAAGCGCAAGUGACGGUAGUAGCAGAAGAAGGACCGGCCAACUACGUGCCAGCCGCCGCCGUAA
rnacentral:rRNA from 1 species